rnacentral:rRNA from 1 species
GCCUAACGGCUGAACUGGCAACUUGGAGAAGUGGCAAGUCUUCCAGUAUGGGGAGCAAAACAGCUAUGGGUCAAGUCCGAUAUCUUUAGGAGAAGUCUUAUUGUGAGGGCGAGUUAUAUAACACCGUAGGACUGGCCGUCCCAUAUGAAAAGAUUAUAUUAGAAUUGAAUGAAGCUUUGUUUAUAUAUUGAUAAUGACAGUAUAUAUAUCGUGUCUUGACUAAUUGCGUGCCAGCAGUCGCGGUAAUACGUAAGAGACUAGUGUUAUUCAUCUUAAUUAGGUUUAAAGGGUACCCAGACGGUCAAUAUAGCUUAUAAAAUGUUAGUACUUGACUAGAGUUUUAUGUAAGAGGGCAGUACUUGAGGAGGAGAGAUGAAAUUUCGUGAUACCAAAGGGACUCUGUAAAGGCGAAGGCAGCCCUCUAUGUAAAAACUGACGUUGAAGGACGAAGGCACAGAGAACAAACAGGAUUAGAUACCCAAGUAGUCUUUGCAGUAAAUGAUGAAUGCCAUAGGUUAGAUUGGUCAAUUAUAGUCUAGGGUUAGUCUAGCAAACUAAUACCUAUACUAUUAUACCUAAUAUCUGGUCUAUAAAUGAAAGUGUAAGCAUUUCACCUCAAGAGUAAUGUGGCAACGCAGGAACUGAAAUCACUAG